rnacentral:rRNA from 1 species
GUGGGGAAUAUUGGACAAUGGGGGGAACCCUGAUCCAGCCAUGCCGCGUGUGUGAAGAAGGCCUUUUGGUUGUAAAGCACUUUAAGCGAGGAGGAGGCUACCGAGAUUAAUACUCUUGGAUAGUGGACGUUACUCGCAGAAUAAGCACCGGCUAACUCUGUGCCAGCAGCCGCGGUAAUACAGAGGGUGCAAGCGUUAAUCGGAUUUACUGGGCGUAAAGCGCGCGUAGGUGGCCAAUUAAGUCAAAUGUGAAAUCCCCGAGCUUAACUUGGGAAUUGCAUUCGAUACUGGUUGGCUAGAGUAUGGGAGAGGAUGGUAGAAUUCCAGGUGUAGCGGUGAAAUGCGUAGAGAUCUGGAGGAAUACCGAUGGCGAAGGCAGCCAUCUGGCCUAAUACUGACGCUGAGGUGCGAAAGCAUGGGGAGCAAACAGGAUUAGAUACCCGGGUAGUCC